rnacentral:rRNA from 1 species
GAUCAUGGCUCAGGAUGAACGCUGGCGGCGUGCCUAACACAUGCAAGUCGAGCGAAGCAAUUAAGAUGAAGUUUUCGGAUGGAUUCCUGAUUGACUGAGCGGCGGACGGGUGAAGGUAACGCGUGGGUAACCUGCCUCAUACAGGGGGAUAACAGUUAGAAAUGACUGCUAAUACCGCAUAAGCGCACAGUACCACAUGGUACGGUGUGAAAAACUCCGGUGGUAUGAGAUGGACCCG